rnacentral:rRNA from 1 species
AACUUUCAACAACGGAUCUCUUGGUUCUGGCAUCGAUGAAGAACGCAGCGAAAUGCGAUAAGUAAUGUGAAUUGCAGAAUUCAGUGAAUCAUCGAAUCUUUGAACGCACAUUGCGCCCCUUGGUAUUCCGGGGGGCAUGCCUGUUCGGGCGUCAUUAC